rnacentral:rRNA from 1 species
UACAGAGGUCUCAAGCGUUGUUCGGAUUCAUUGGGCGUAAAGGGUGCGUAGGCGGCGCGGUAAGUCGGGUGUGAAAUCUUGGAGCUUAACUCCGAAACUGCAUUCGAUACUGCCGUGCUUGAGGACUGGAGAGGAGACUGGAAUUUACGGUGUAGCGGUGAAAUGCGUAGAUAUCGUAAGGAAGACCAGUGGCGAAGGCGGGCUCUCU